rnacentral:rRNA from 1 species
CAGUCGCCACGGUAAUACGUAGGUGGCAAGCGUUGUCCGGAAUUACUGGGUGUAAAGGGAGCGUAGACGGUUAAACAAGUCUGAAGUGAAAUGCCGGGGCUCAACCCCGGAGCUGCUUUGGGAACUGUAGAACUGGAGUGUCGGAGGGGUAAGCGGAAUUCCCAGUGUAGCGGUGAAAUGCGUAGAUAUUGGGAGGAACACCGGCGGCGAAGGCGGCUUACUGGACGACAACUGACGUUGAGGCUCGAAGGCGUGGGUAGCAAACAGGAUUAGAUACCCCUGUAGUCCCUGUCUCUUAUAC